CUUUAUAGUAGAUGUAACGUGCUGUUAAAGGAAAUUACGGUCAUUUUUUUUCCCAUAACGGCUGUUACGGCCGUUACAACCCCGUAACAUGUAACGGUUGCUGCCGUUACCUUUAUGUAACAGCCUUUAUGGCCCCGUAACGGCCUUUACGCACACCAUGGCCUUGAUUGUUGCUUCCAUUUGAUUCGUCUUCUCUAAGUCUGGUAUUGUACUGUGCACUAUAAGUUUCCCUCCAAGCUAAUUUCUCUUACGAUAAUUCCAAGUCCUUGAUAUCUAAGGCCCGAAUAUCGAGCAAUAAAGAAUCUUUCUCCACUUCUUGAUACUCGAGUACCUCCACCUUCUAGCUAUUAAUUUUCUUUUUGAGCAUUUCAUUUUUUGGAGCAAAGCAAAACUUGACGAACCUUCUAGGGAAAGGGAUGACCAUCACUUUUUAAUCAAACUUGAAAAACCCUCUACCUCUAGCCAUGCUAGCUUGAAUCUAAAAGGGCAUGAGUCUGAAUUCUCCUCUUUCGCCUCCAAAGCGAUAGGGCAAUAUGAUUAGACAUAGGCCAUGGAGGGUCUCUUUUAUGGACUAGCGGAAACUUCUCCACCCAAUCAGAAGAGUUCAAAAACCGGUCUUUCUUGAAUUUUGCCACUUUUGAUUGUCCAUUUGAUCAAGUAAAUUUCACCUUCCUCAUAGGUAGAUCUACCAUCUCGUUACUUAUGAUCCAAUUGGAAAACUCCAAUUUUUUUGUGAUGUGACCCGAUCCUUUCAUCGACCCCACCAUAAUGAGGCCCCAUCGGCUUUUGGUCCGCAACAUCCAUUUUAGUUUCUUGGAGAGCUAACAUUUCAGUUUUGGACUUCUUGCACAAGUCCUUGAUUUGCAACCUCUUAUCCGAACAUGUAUGGUUGGUUGGAAGUUGUAUGUUUAUGAGGGUUGUGGUUGGUGUUUUGGGGUGUAGUCUUGAUAAGGCUUACGAUUGAGUGUAGGGGUGCUAUAGGAAUUACGGUUUAGGAUUCGGGUUUAAGCAAAGCCGUUAGUUAAGCUUUAAUGGGAUUAGGGUUAGGGUUCUUGGUAAUUAAGGUUGGAUUUGGGUAAGUUUAGGUAUUUGAGGGUGAAUGAGGGUUGCAAUUUGGUUAUUUGCAUUGGUUGAGGUUCCCGGUUGGUUUUUUGUUUUUGUUUGUUUGUUUGUUUUUUUUUUUUUUAACGAACAAUGGCUACAAUUAGAGUUUUUAAUGUAGGAAGGGAUGCGAUUAGGACCUUAGUUGUAGGAUCGUUCUAACUAGCACCGCUCCCGCUUCAACUCCCUGGUUCGAGAUCUCACUCUUGCUCCUGCUUCUUACUUAUUUAUACUUGUUUAAAUUUUGAGAGGGACGCUUCCCCACUCCUGCACCCGAAUUUGUUGCCGCUUCGCUUCCCUCUUCGUGCAACUAAAGUUAGGGUUUGGGAAUGGAUUUUGGUUGAGGCUAGGGUUUCGGGUGGAUUUAGAGCUAGUCUUAUGGUUAGGUUAAGAUUUUGGCCUUAUGUGUAAUGGGCAAAUUUUGGAAAAGAAGAAGAAAAAAUAAUCAAAUUCCCAAGAACAACUUGCUUUGGUACCAAUUUGAUAAAACAAUCAAAGAUGGAAUUCAAAUCUUCAUGAAGAAUAAUAUUAUACUUAUGAACUUGAACAAAAUUUCCACUACAAUGCCUCAAGCUCUCAAUCAUGCAUUAAUCACUCUGAUAGAAGCAGUCAAUAAUAUAUAUAAAAAAAGGAAAAUUGGGGAUAAGUAUGUGAGUCUCACCACAAAGAGAGCAUAUGAGAGUUAUCCCAUGGUUAAAAGAGUCGCUUUAGAAGUCAAUACAUAUGACCUUAUAAAGUUAAAAAGUUGUAAGUGGGAGAGUACACAUAUUUGGUUGUCUUGUGGUGCACUAUAUCCUUAGAGACAAUGGUGUACCUUUUAGAUUUCAUUUGUAUUUAUUUUGAGCUUAUCAAUUGUAAUAAAUAAUCUAUAAGUAAGAGCUACUAGUGGUAGGGGGAUAUGAAGAAAAAUAUUCUCUUCUGUUCCCUCUUUUCUUCCUCUGCAUGUGUUCGACAAUGUAAUCUCUUGAGUUUAACAUGCUAUAGGGACAAUACCUUUCUUCUUUCCAUUCUCUAUCGUUUUUCAUUCCCUGUCGAGUGUUGACAACCACCAGAAGUGUUGUCGGAUCAUCAUCGAGCCAUUGGAAGUGCCACCAGAACUUCGUCCAACUACCAAAAGUGCUGCUGGAUUAUCAUUCAGCCAUUAAAAGUGUUGUUGGAAUGUUAUCCCACCAUCGGAAGUGCUGUUGCAUAAUACAACUGCCAAAAGAAUUUGUCCUUUUGCAAACACCGGAAAUUCUCAUGAGUCACAUCCCAGUCACCGGAAGUGCUUACGAUUCAAAUCUUAGCCACCAUAUCCAUCAGAAGUGCAGUCAGCCUCUCCCGCGGUCUUCAGAAUCAUCGGCAAGCUUGGCAUGUAUGAUAACAUACUCCAGCUUGAGGGAUUUUUAGGGUACAUGCGUAGUGUAUUUGAGUGCUGGAGUACACAUAUAUUCAGUUGUCCUAUAGUGCACCGUAUCCUUGGAAAUUGUUGUUGGUGGUCUUUCCGGGGUCGAUAGUUAUCACAUAUGUGGCACAGGUGUGACCAUGUGGACCACCCUUGGAUCUUAUAUACUUUGUUUUUAUGUAUGGGGCCUAAGAAUGUACUUAGAUUUGGUUUAAAGCCCUUGGGUUGUUGCAUUGUAAGUGAGAGGGGCAUUU